UAGCCUAGUGGUCAAGGCUAAGGAUCGCCAAUCCGGAGACGGCGGGUUCGAUUCCCGU
rnacentral:tRNA from 1 species